ensembl:lncRNA
AUGAAGACUGAGUUUGAGACAUUGGGUCUGUGGCCAGGGUCACGUCCAGUACGUCACCCAAUGAACAUGAUUACCCUGUGGCGCUAUCCACCUCAGCCUGAGCUCAUAGACAAUAUUGCUGCACUGCCUUCGCCCAAAUAUUUUCAGCUCCACCCAUUCUUCAUUUGGAAGCCGGAGCAUGCAAUCAUGGAGAGGGUGAGGAACAAUUUUGUCCUGCCCUGCCUUCAUGGUUGUCCCAACCCUCAGGUAGCUUCUUCUGGUGUUGGACGGCCCAGAGUGAUCAUCGGCACCAGUGGUCAGUACUAUCUCUUUGCUUCACGGCUCACCUGUAAAGCCUGUAAGAGGUACUGGCAUGCUGACAAACCCCAAUGGCUGGAGAUGUUGCCAAAGCGCUUCAAUAACAUUGUGCCAGCCUUCCUGACGCACAAAAAAGCCAUCUGCAAAUCGGUGAUGGAUGAGCUGAGACGCAGUGGCAGAUCACCGGAGGACAUGACCAAGCAGCUGACAGAGGCGGUCCAUCUUAAGUAUGAGCGAGCUCAUCUGGCCUACCUGCUGAGUGUGCAGAACAUCAGGGAUGCUGAGGAAGGAGCCUACGGCCAGAAGACCAUCACUGGGCACCUCAGACAGGCAGACACUCCAGCUUCAUUCGGGGGAUAUUCAGAUGCUGAUGGCUGGCGGGGAGUGUCUCUUUCUUCGCACUACCUGGUCAACUGCCAGGUCCAGGAGUAUCAGAGGCAGGAGCAGCUCCUCACACUACUGCUGCAGGGGACCUUUGGACGGGCACUGAGGUCGGAUCACACUCGGAAAGUGGCGAGGAAGGUCGUGCUGUCGUCUGGCACCAUGUCUUCCUACGCCAUCAUGAAUGAGAACUGGAUGAUCCUGAGCUGGGUGAUGCUGCAGUCAGAGUGUGAUCGGUCCCUUCAUCUGGUGUAUCAGGGACUGGCUCAACGCUACACUGCAGCUGGAGUGGAGAAGGCAUGCUGCCACUGGGUGGACAGGGACUGCUGUGCUGCCUUCAAGGUCCUGGACACCAGAGCUCAGGAGCACCUGUCAUGGGACUGCUGGAAGACCACAGAGGCUAUAGUCACAGAGGCCACCUCUGGAAACCUCGCCAACACAAGUGCCGCAAGGAACAAGUUUAAUGUAGACAUUAGCAUCAAGUUAGACUUGUUUCAUUGUAUGCGCCGGCUUACCAGAGAGUGUGUGUCAGAGCAUCAUCCUCUGUACAGCUCCUUCUGCCAGUUCCUCUCUGCAGCCUUUCUCGUUGUGGACCAGGGGGAUCUCGAGAGGCUGAAGGACGCUUACACCUUCUGUGGAAUCUCUCCUGCCAAUCCAACCAAGCAGCACAUGAGAGAUCACUGCAGGACACAGGUGCCACAGCCCAGAGAACUGCUGCAGAGAGUGGAAGACGUCCUCCAUCACUUCCACCUGGCAAAGGACAUGAAUGAUGUGCUCCUCUAUAAGGCCUCCAUGUUCAAGGUGUGGAGGAUUCAGCGGAUACACAUCUUAAGAGGCUGCUUGAGCGACCCUGAGGUGGAGGAGGGGAUCCUCUACAGAUACGGUGGCACCUUGCAGCUUAAUUACACCAAGGGCGAAGGAGCGGCUGUACCUGUUUGGAUCCCUGUUAGAGGCACGUCUCAGCAGGAGGGCUUCCACUGUCACCAGGCCCAGUGGGUGACUGGCAACCGGGUGUCCACUGAGCUCUUCCAGGCCCAGGCCAUGACUGGAGUGGUGCGCUGGAACUUUCAGAGGCUUGUGGACCUGAAGCAGCCUGGUGUGGAGCUGCCAGCUGUGUUUGACCCCCUGCUCAUUUGGGAACUGAACGCAGCCUGUCAAAGGGUGACAGGGGUGCGAAAAUACCCAGCUCUGCACAUCUCAAACAGGGACACAGGGGAGAGAUUCGGGCUGCAGUACGUGGAGCCAGGCUGUCGUCCUGUGGUUUUAAACUGGGACAAACACAGGACACAGCACAACACCUCUGCUGCUGUAACCGUGGCAACACAGCUGCACUCCUCUGCCCUGGAUGAAGUGCAGGACAUUGUUGCGGGCACAGACUCUCAGGUAAUCCAGAUGAAUCACACACUGUCAAUUUCCAACCCACUGACAGAAUGACUGACUGACUCAAUCAUUACAUUUGAUGCUGUAUUUCAGGAGACCAGUGAUGGCACUGUCCAGGACAACCCAGUGGGAGCAGUGCCGAUCCUCAGUUUCCAGCCACCUAUGCCAGCAUCUGCCACAGCCAAAGAAGAGCCUCACCCUUUGAUGGAUACAGGUUACCCACCUACCAUUCCUCAUGCACAACAGUUAACUGUUAAAAACAACUUCACACAUGGCUACUGUAUACAAUUAGCUUGUAAUAAUAAUAUAAACAAUAUAAUAAACAUAUGCUUUAUUCCUUAGACCUGCGAGGGGUAGCGCCACUGCCCAUAUCCUCCUCUCCUCGAGCCGCCCGCACUGGACCCAUUAAGACGGGAGGCCUGGUUCAAGUCCUGGACCACGGCCGGUGGACGGCCCCCAUGAGAGCAGCCAUCGAUGGGCUUCUGGCUAAACAUCAUGGAGCCAAAGCUCUUCUGAAGAGGGUGGAUGCGGAAUAUGCUGCCAUGGUGCAGAGGGCGUGCACGGAUCCCAACAGCCUCCUUCAUCCGACCACAGGCCAGCAUAUCUCCAGAUAUGUCAAGCAUCUGGCCAAGCUGAAAAACACCAGCUCCUCUCUCAACACCAGCCCAGAGAAGGUUUUAGAGACUCAGCAGCUGUGGCAGAGUUUGACCACAGGCAGCAAAACAGUGUGUGUACCCGUCACAGCCCUGCCUCCUGCGACCGUCAACCCUCCAGCUGUGGCUCCCCCCCCGGAGGAGUCACUGAGCCGGGCCACAGUGGAGAAGAUCGUGUCAGAGAUCCUCCAGAAACAGCAGCAACAACCAAGGCAGGAGAGAAAGGUGCCCAGAAACUGUUUGUCCUGUGGUCAGCCAAAGUCCAGGUACCUUGGCGAUGGAUCCACUGUUCACUUUUUUUUUCAGUCCCCUGAGGUGAAGUACUUUUACUGCUCCGAACGGGUCUUUAAAAUGUAUAGAGAGGAAGGCCUCAAAGACCCCAGGAUGUCUUUUGUGGACUUUGCUGCCUCCCCCUUUUUUGCCAGGGAGCUUGAGGCUGUAAAAGAGAGGAGUGCAGCGUGGAAGAAGGUGGCAGAGGAGAGGACAAAGCGAAAGUCUGCAGUGCAGCUUCCAACAGGUCGCCUGUGCAGAUUCUGUCACCAACCACUAAAGCAGGGUCCUGUCAGCCCUCAUGUCCAUGCCUGUUUCCCUGACAUCCCAGGGAAAUACAUAUACUGCCCCUCCAGAGUGUUGUCCCUUUACAAGGACAAGGGCAUGGUCAAGGAGAUGACCUGGAUGGAGUUCCAGCAGUCAGACUUUUUUGAGGCAGAAAGGGUCCGAUGGGUUUCAGAGAAGAGGAGUUGAGGAGGACUAAUAGUCCUCUUUUCUGAAAUGAAAUGAUUAGACCUUGACUAAUCAUUUCAUAAUAUCAUAUAUGUUUACACUUUCUAUUAAAUAUAUUCUGUACAUUUGUAUUGUUCCUUUGCUUAUAUAUUAUCUCAGUUUGGACUUUGGGUGUUUAAUAACUAAUAGUCCACUUUUCUAUAAUAUUGUAUAUGUUUACACUUUUUUGUAAAUAUAUUCUGUACAUUUGAAUUGUUCCUUUGCUUACAUAUUAUCUUGAUUUAUCUUCAAUAUCAGUUUGGACUUUGGGUGUUUAAUAACUAAUAGUCCUCUUUUCUAUAAUAUUGUAUAUGUUUACACUUUUUAGUAAAUAUGUUCUGUACAUUUGCAUUGUUCCUUUGCUUGCAUGUUAACUUUAUUUAUCUUCAAUGUCAGUUUGGAUUUUGGGUGUUUAAUUAUUCAGCUCGUGUUCAUGUAGAAUUAAAUAUGACACUUUCAUCGAAGGGCAGCAACUUGUUUCUGGAUUAUUUGCUUCGUGGAGCAUAUUGUGCCUUUCAUGCAUCAUUUAUAUAAUAUAAAUAUUUUUAAUGAUG